rfam:Homo sapiens chromosome 2, GRCh38 reference primary assembly.
GCCAGGCAUGGUGACGAGUGCCUGUAAUCCCAGCUACUUAGGAGGCUGAGGCAGGAGAAUUGCUUGAACCCAGGAGGCAGAGGUUGCAGUGAGCCAAGAUCGCGCCACUGCACCCCAGCCUGGGUGAUAGAGUAAGACUCCGUCUCAA